rnacentral:rRNA from 1 species
GUUGUGAGGUUAAGUGACUAAGCGUACACGGUGGAUGCCUAGGCAGUCAGAGGCGAUGAAGGGCGUGCUAAUCUGCGAAAAGCGUCGGUAAGGUGAUAUGAACCGUUACAACCGGCGAUACCCGAAUGGGGAAACCCAGUGUGUUUCGACACACUAUCAUGUCAUGAAUACAUAGUGGCAUGAGGCGAACCGGGGGAACUGAAACAUCUAAGUACCCCGAGGAAAAGAAAUCAACCGAGAUUCCCCCAGUAGCGGCGAGCGAACGGGGAGGAGCCCAGAACCUGAAUCGGCUUGUGUGUUAGUGGAAGCGUCUGGAAAGUCGCGCAGCAAAGGGUGAUAGCCCCGUACACUAAAAUGCACAGGUCGUGAGUUCGAUGAGUAGGGCGGGACACGUGACAUCCUGUCUGAAUAUGGGGGGACCAUCCUCCAAGGCUAAAUACUCCUGACUGACCGAUAGUGAACCAGUACCGUGAGGGAAAGGCGAAAAGAACCCCGGCGAGGGGAGUGAAAUAGAACCUGAAACCGUGUACGUACAAGCAGUGGGAGCACCUUCGUGGUGUGACUGCGUACCUUUUGUAUAAUGGGUCAGCGACUUAUAUUUUGUAGCAAGGUUAACCGUAUAGGGGAGCCGUAGGGAAACCGAGUCUUAACUGGGCGAAUAGUUGCAAGGUAUAGACCCGAAACCCGGUGAUCUAGCCAUGGGCAGGUUGAAGGUUGGGUAACACUAACUGGAGGACCGAACCGACUAAUGUUGAAAAAUUAGCGGAUGACUUGUGGCUGGGGGUGAAAGGCCAAUCAAACCGGGAGAUAGCUGGUUCUCCCCGAAAGCUAUUUAGGUAGCGCCUCGUGAACUCAUCUUCGGGGGUAGAGCACUGUUUCGGCUAGGGGGCCAUCCCGGCUUACCAAACCGAUGCAAACUCCGAAUACCGAAGAAUGUUAUCACGGGAGACACACGGCGGGUGCUAACGUCCGUCGUGAAGAGGGAAACAACCCAGACCGCCAGCUAAGGUCCCAAAGUCAUGGUUAAGUGGGAAACGAUGUGGGAAGGCAUAGACAGCCAGGAUGUUGGCUUAGAAGCAGCCAUCAUUUAAAGAAAGCGUAAUAGCUCACUGGUCGAGUCGGCCUGCGCGGAAGAUGUAACGGGGCUAAACCAUGC